rnacentral:lncRNA from 1 species
UAAAUAAUAACCAGUCAUGAAUGGCCUAGUGGAGAAAGAGUAGUUUCAUAGUCUUGAGUGGGGUGGGUUCAAUACUCAUACGUAGCAUUUUUUUAGUAUUUUAUUUUCUUUUAGCAUUUUAUUUUCUUUUGGCAUUUUAUUUUAUGUUAUGUUUUUAUUAUACUCAUGGUUGAUCUGCUUUCUUUUAACUUCAUCAUUCAUUCAAAACCAUUUUAAAACUAUAAAAAUCAUAUUUUUUCUCGAUUCAAUGUCGAGCCCAUUUUCACACCCUUGUAAGUCGAUUGCUUUUUAAGCAUCGCCAUCAACCUCACAUAGCUUACUCUUGGGCUUUCUUACAAUGAGCCGGUUCUCUUGCACUUACACUCAUAUUUCGCAUCAUUUGUUGUUUGGGCCUGAUCUAAUUACUUUAUGAUUUUGAAUCCCC